GGCUCAUCAAACUUCUCCGCAAACCUGAAGGUAUACUUCAAUUGGAUUAGACUACCCUCACUGGAGUUGGCGGUGGUUUCCUUUGGUAUAUCCCAGCUCUCCACAAGUGGCCAUACCCUGAAGGCUAUGUGCUCUUGAAUUAAAUCUCUCGUGCCAAUAAAGGAGCACACAGUGCUAAAGGCCUUCUUACACUUUUCAACGCCGCUAUCAAUAUUCACCUUCGGCCUUCAUAGACCGAAGCGGGACCAGACGGGGCGCUGGAUAACUUCCUUGAUAUCUUCUCUCUUCUUUAAAUCAUUCUUAACAUAAAACCACUCCUCCAUCCAGGCCCCAGGCCAUCUUUUCCGGAAUGUUGGCACCGGGUGGCUUGCAUUGGGGCGAGCAAUAAAUCCAUAACAACCGAAGUUGUUGUGGUACUGUUCUUUGCCAGUAGCCUUCGUCUCAUAUAAAAGCUCAUGCAUACUACAGAAGCACUUCGUGCUUGGCUCCAGCCCCUGACUUCUUACAGCCCAGACAAAAACCCCAUCCUAAUAAUAGCUUCGGGGGUAAUCUGAUGAAGGAAGAUUUGGUAUAUCUUCAGCACUUCAACCACAAACUUGCUCAGCGAGAACCGAAGACCUGCCUUUAGGAAGCUUCGGUAUAUAACAACUUCGUUUUCCUCCGGAGCAGGGGCAGUGUUGUCUCCUCUAACUCUGACAAUAGACAUGUCGUGAAAAUAUCUCCCCUCGUGGCAUCAAUAUGACUUUGCUUGAUGGUAGAUUUUCCGAAGAUAGUAUGGCUUGGGCGCCAUGGCCAAUCCUCAGAGUCUUCAUCCCCACUUUCCACGUCAUAACUAUCGCUAUCAUCAGAAUCUUUGGAUAAACCCUCCAAGAUCUCCUUAGUAAAUUUCUCCGUAUUUGUUUUUGCAAUGGACUCAAUAAAUCCAGCAAUGUAAGGAUCUGCAACCUUCUUCUCUUCAAACAGCUUCGUCUCCUCGGUUGUUUUCUUCUCUUCAGUCAUCUUUUUCUCAGCACUCAUCUUCUUCUCUUCAAAUUUGAAGCAAACGUGUCUUUAA
rnacentral:lncRNA from 1 species